CCUACGGGUGGCAGCAGUGGGGAAUAUUGCACAAUGGGGGAAACCCUGAUGCAGCGACGCCGCGUGAGUGAAGAAGGAAUUCGUUACGUAAAGCUCUAUCUGCAGGGAAGUAAAUGACGGUACCUGAGUAAGAAGCCCCGGCUAACUACGUUCCAGCAGCGGCAGUAAUACGUAGGGUGCAAGCGUUAUCCGGAUUUACUGGGUGUAAAGGGAGCGUAGACGGUGCGUUAAGUCUGGAGUGAAAUGCCGCAGCUUAACGGUGGAACUGCUGUGGAAACUGGCGAACUAGAGUGCGUGAGGGGUAGGCGGAAUUCGUGGUGUAGCGGUGAAAUGCGUAGAUAUUAGGAGGAACACCGGUUGCGAAGGCGGCUUACUGGACCGUAACUGACGUUGAGGCUCGAAAGCGUGGGGAGCAAACAGGAUUAGAUACCCCUGUAGUC
rnacentral:rRNA from 1 species